rnacentral:rRNA from 1 species
GACGAACGCUGGCGGCGUGGAUUAGGCAUGCAAGUCGAACGGUAGGAUACCUUCGGGUAUCUGAGAGUGGCGAACGGGUGAGUAACACGUAGGUGAUCUACCCUCAAGAUUGGGACAACCCAGGGAAACUUGGGCUAAUACCGGAUGAAAGCAGCAGUGAUGUUGUUUGAAAGGUGGCGUAAGCUGCCGUUUGGGGAUGAGCCUGCGCUCUAUUAGUUAGUUGGCGGGGUAAAGGCCCACCAAGGCGAUGAUAGAUAGGCGGCCUUAACGGGUGGUCGCCCACACUGGGAUUGAGAUACGGCCCAGACUCCUACGGGAGGCAGCAGUCGAGAAUAGUCUACAAUGGCCGAAAAGGCUGAUAGUGCGACGCCGCGUGAACGAAGAAGCCCUUGGGUCGUAAAGUUCUUUUAUAUGUGAGCAGUGUUCUUAUAUUAACAGUAUGGGAGAGAGAUAUUAGCAUAAUGAAUAAGCAAACGGCUAAACUCCGUGCCCAGCAGACCC